UAGAUGGAAACUUUUACAGGUUUUUUUUUUUAUAUAUAUAUAGUAUAUAUACAUAUCCUUUUGUAAUGUACACGUUUUUAAUAUAAUACAUAUAUUAGAAUCAUCUAAAUACCCACUACUAGAAGGACCCCAUCUUCUCCAUACGAAAAAAUAACGGAGUACAUCAUCACAAUUUUAAAAUUUGACAUAUUAUUGUUAUUAUUAUUGUUAUUAUUAUAUCAACAACUCCUCAAGAAAUAAUUUCUACAUAGACUCCUCCACCACAUACAGAACUGACACGGACAUACCCCACAGAUUUAGCAUAUAAACAGCUUUCCAAGCUCAACAAAAAACGUUCAUACCAGGGAUCAUAUGUCUACCUAUUCCUUCGCUGUGUCUUCACAACAACCACCACUCCGACAUGCCCAUUGAAAUCCUCACCCACAAAGAUGAGAUCAUUGUCACUUGCCUUGGAGGUAGCCUGCAGAAGAAUAUCAUAAAAGUGGUCUUUCUGUUCAUCUGGUACACUCGCUUGUGGGGCAUAGGCAGAUAUGAUUGUAGCUAUACUAUCCUGCAAGACUAGCCUGAGCUUAAGUACUCUAUCGCAUACUCUAACUACCUCUAUGAUCUUAUCCACCCAUUUCUCAGCAAGGGAUGUGCCUGAAGAGAUAGCCUCCUUCUGUAAAGAAGAAGCAAUCACCACCAUGCAGAUAUAAAAUAUUUAGAUAAUAUUGGUGAUUUCACAUAUAUUCUGCUUGCCUAACUCUCAUCUACAUAUCUGUCUACCUACCUAUCUAGCACUUGUACUUUCUUCAUUCUGUCUACAUGCAAGAGAGAUAGAUGAAUAGAUAGAUAAGUAUAUGUAUCAUUAUCAUCAUCAUCAUUGUUUUCAUGUCCACUUUUCCAUGUUUGCAUAGAUCAGACAGAAUUUGUUACAGUGGAUUUUCUAUAACCAGAUAUCCUUCCUGUCACCAAUCCUCACUUGCUUCCAAGUAAACUAAUACAUCCUAUGACUUGACAUGUUUUCAUAGAAGAUUAGAAAUGAAAGACACUGCUCACAUGACAGUGACACUUGUUUACAACUAUCAUAUGACGUCAGGGCAAGGAUACAGUAACACAUACACACAACUACACAUGCACACACACCCACAUACAUGCCUAUAGAUGUCUAUCAAAUCUACUCACAGGACUUUGGGCAGCCCAGGGCUAGAGUAGAAGACACUUGCUCAAGGUGUCAAAAAGUAGGACUGCAUCUGAAGCCAUGUGAUUUAGAAGCAAACUUUUUGCCACAAAACCAUGCCUGUGCUUACACACACACACACACACACAGUGAAUUGGUAGUCAUUAUUCUCUCUGUAGUAAAAUUACAUAAAUAAUAAUCAAUGAGCUAAAAAUGAAGUUCUUUUCUUUUUCUUUUUCAAAGAAACUGUAACUUAUUUUUAUGAAAUGUGAAUUCUAGCCAAGCUUUUAAACUUAGAUGUUUGGUCCACUGACCUGUUUAGAUACCAAUGAUGCAACAAGACAUACAAAUAAAAUAAAAAGGACAUGAAGUCAGUCUCUUAAAAGUGAAAUAAUGCUCUAAGCUUAUAAAAUCAGAUAAUCUACUCAAAACAGUCAUUUAGAAAUAACUUUUCACAUUCAUCAAACACAAACAAAUUAGCUAUUACCAUCCUACACAAACACAAACAUACAUCAAUAUUCACAUGUUUACAUCCAUAUAUAUUCACAGAUAUAUAUAUAUAUAUAUAUACAUACAAAUACAUCUGCCCAUACCAUACAUGCAUAACAUAUAUUCUUCAAUCAAUUUGUGUGUGUUUGAGAGAGAGAGAGAGAGAGAGAGAGAUUUAGCAUCCACUUUCCAUACAGGCAUGAAGUGAACAGUUUCAAAGGGAAAUGGCGAGCUGUAGGACUAUGUUGAGCUGCAACGUCAUCUUUGACAUGGCUUCCAUGGCUAGAUACUCUUCGUAAUGCCAACGACUUUACAAAAUAUACUGGGUGAAUUCCUCUUUCUACCAGCAGUAGUGAGGAUAUCAAGAAACUUGCAAGCCAGAAAAGAACAGAGAAAAAGCACUCACUACUAUCUGAGAGAGGAAGACGGUGGUAUUGAAAGGUUAAGUAUGAUACAGGGAAAAGCACAGGUGUCUUGCUAGAGCAAACUCUCAAGGAACAAGAGGGUGAGCCUAAGAGAGGAUACAGAUAGUGGGUCAUAGAAGGGGAUGAGAGAGUGUGUUAUACUUUUAUAGGAGUGUGAGGGGGGAGAAAACAAGUAGAGGUUAAUGUGGUGAGGAAUGAACAAGAAUUUUGGUACCGAUGAUGGGAAAUACCAGUAUUAAGAGGGGUAAGGUGGUGGAUAUUGGAGUGGCUCAGGAAGGAGAAUAGAACAGAAAGUACAUGCAAGGUGUAAAAACAGUGGAGAUAGAGAUAUAGGGAUACAUAUAUGACCAUAGGUGGGUCAUGAUGGUAGAUGUAGGAAAGCAUUGAGAAUGACAGCAGAUAAGAAAGGUGUUUAAAAUUGAGUAUAGUAGCUGAAGACACAGAAAGCAAGUUCAUUAGUAUUAAUAUUGAGGGCAAGAAUGAUGAUGAACAGAAAGGGAUGAGAUGUAAUAUGUACCGCUUCUGCACUCAGGUACAGCAGCCAAGAAGUACCAUUGAUAGGGUAAAGAUAAAAUGUGGAGAGGAGAAUACUUGAGGAGAGGGGGGAAUACAGUCUAACUUUCAACGAGAGAGAGAGAGAGAGAGAGAGAGAGAGAGAGAGAGAGAGAGAGAGAGAGAGAGAGAGAGAGAGAGAGAGAGAGAGACCUUUCAUUGCCAACAGAGUUAAAUGCUCUCUGAACUUUCUCCAUCCUAUCAUUACUCAAGUAACUACACUUUCAGAACAUCCUACUUCACUGCUAAUUAAGUUGUCUGGGUAACAGAAACUAUCUACUACUUCUAGGAAGCUUCCAGGGUCUUUUAGAAAAUCAAUUUCCCAUGUGACCUCAGACUUUAUGACACCUGCGCAUCACCCACACACGAAAACUAUGUUCAAAAGCUACUUAACCGUCCAGCAAUACUACUACAUUUCUUGCAUGUGUCCACAACUAAUCUUUCCUACAUAUUGAGCAGGGCCAUUUACCUGAAGAGCAUAGUGUCCUGUUUGUUUUCUUCCUUACUAAAACCUUGGUCUUUGCAAAGUUAACUUUAAGACCCUUUGAUUCCAGGUUUUGCUCCAACACUUGCAAUUUCUUUCUAAUUUUCUAACAGAUUCUGCUAUGAGAGCAAGAUCAUUAGCAUACAGUAGUUACCAGGGGCAAUAGGUUUUAAGUUCCUCUGUUAUAGCCUGGAGGACAAUGAUGAAUAGAAGGGGACUGAGAACCAAAUCCUGGUGCAUACCUACAGGCACACUAAAUUCAUCACUCUACUCAUUGCUAACUUUCACCUUACUGACGGCACCUCUGUACAUGGCUUUCACAAUCUUACUCAUCUAUCCCUAGUUUCAUCAGAGACCAUCAUGUCAUGAAGAAUGCUUUCUCCAGAUAAAUAAAUGCCAAGUAUAAUGGCUUACUCUUAGCUAACUACUUCUCCUGCAGUUGUCUGACUAGUGCUUCUACCCAUACAAAAUCAAACUGCAUCUCAUCUACUAUAAUUGUGUUUCUAAUUAAUUGGGCUAUAACAUUCUCCAUGACUUUCAUGACUUGAUCCAACAAUUCAAUACCUCUGUAAUGAGGCAUCACUAUAAAUUUUUGAUAAUAUUUGAAUGUAAUUUCUACUGUACUUUUUCUUGGAGAGCAUCUAAAAAGAAAUAUUUUGAAACCUCAUUUGUAAAAUUUGGGUGAAUAUUUUAAGAAAUAUGACAACUUGAAUGGUCAGCAAAAUCAAUGAAAUCUUGCCGAAUUAGCCCUAUUUGUGAUAUCAUAUCUAUGACCCACUAUCUGUAAUACAAGUAACAAACAAUUUCACAGUGUUUUCAGACCUUGUUAAAUCCAAAACUACAGGUCACAGGGACUUGAGUUUUGGCACAUUUGUCAUUGGUAUAGAAUUAAAUAAAUCCUGAGAUUUUGGAGCAUGAUACCAUUUCAAUAAAAUUUUGAUAGAUUAUUAAAAAUGGCUAUAAAUGGCAGACUUUCAGAUCAGGAUGCCCACAUAAGUUGGAUUUUCUCCAUUUUGACAAGGAUUUUUCCAAUUAUUUUUUCCAUCACAGUCUUGAAAAUGAUGGCGAUAAGAUUUUUAUGGAAAACAAAUUAGGAAAAUUUAUUUUUCACAUCAUAACCAGAUUUAGCAAUGACCAUAUUUAAUCGGUGAGAAAUUUUUUAUAUCCUUUUCAAAGUGAACAUUAACAAUGACAAUUUAACUUAUAUAUUUUGUAAUGAUUAUCUGACCUACCUAUUUUUAUAUCAAAAUAAAGUGAAAACCUUUCUCUUCAUGACAGUAUGAUUUUUAACACAACUUGAGUUAUAGUGUUUGAGCAUACUGAACAAGAAUGAGCGGAAAAAAAAAAAAAAAAAAACUUUGUAAAUGUA